rnacentral:rRNA from 1 species
UACGUAGGGGGCCAGCGUUGCUCGGAAUUACUGGGCGUAAAGGGUUCGUAGGUGGUGCGGUAAGUUGGGAGUGAAAUCUCUGGGCUUAACUCAGGGGCUGCUUUCAAAACUGCCGUGCUCGAGUGCGAGAGAGGUCAGUGGAAUUGCAGGUGUAGCGGUGAAAUGCGUAGAUAUCUGCAGGAACACCCGUGGCGAAAGCGGCGCGCUGGACCACUACUGACGCUGAGGAACGAAAGCUAGGGGAGCCAACAGG